GACGAACGCUGGCGGCGUGCUUAACACAUGCAAGUCGAACGGGCUCUGUCUGGCUGUGUGCUGGGUGGGGUUAGUGGCGACCGGGUGAGUAAUACGUGAGUAACCUGCCCUCUUCUUUGGGUUAAGCCUUGGAAACGGGGUCUAAUACUGGAUAUUCCUGUCUGGUCGCAUGGCUGGGUGGGGAAAGUUUUUUUCGGUGGGGGAUGGGCUCGCGGCCUAUCAGCUUGUUGGUGGGGUGAUGGCCUACCAAGGCGUCGACGGGUAGCCGGCCUGAGAGGGUGACCGGCCACACUGGGACUGAGAUACGGCCCAGACUCCUACGGGAGGCAGCAGUGGGGGAUAUUGCACAAUGGGCGCAAGCCUGAUGCAGCGACGCCGCGUGGGGGAUGACGGCUUUCGGGUUGUAAACCUCUUUCGUCGGGGGACAAGGCUCUGCUUGGUGGUGGGGUUGAGGGUACCCGGUGAAGAAGCGCCGGCUAACUACGUG
rnacentral:rRNA from 1 species